CUUGUUCUCCCUGUUUCUGAUAUUCAUUCAAAUUCAUUAAGAGGCAUACUAGAUAUUUAGUUGUGUUCUUAUUCUCGCCACUGUUUUCCUAGGCUUCUAGCUAUGGGUGAUGCUGGUCAGGCUUUCUGGUUUGCCUUGUUGGCAAUUUUCAGUUGCGCGGAUGUAGCUUAUGUUUGGAGUAACCACUGACCUGUUUUUUUCAGCGAAUAACAGCAGAAGCAGCAGAAGAUGGACGGGCAGUGUUAUCUCAAGGUCCGCCAAGCAUGACGGCACCGGUGAUGACGGGCGCGACCAUGACUUUGUAUUAUCUGUGGAAUCUAAUGUUGUGUAAUAGUUUGAUUGAGUUAAACUUUAAAUAGACUGUUGUUAACUGUUUUGUUGGUAUUGUGGCUUUCAUGAUUGAUUGUUUCA